UAGGCCUCUAUUAAUUUCCUGUUGAAAGAAAUAAGAGCUUGGCUGUGGGCCAUCUGUGUGCCAUGAAUCAAUUCCUGGAAACAUCCAAAGGAAAUUCGGAAUUGCACUUACCUGACACUUUCUGCACCAUCUGUUCCAGUUUUGCCAUUCAGUCUGUUCAUGGGGCUGCUGAGAACCACAGGGAUUCUACACAGCCUCCACCGCAGCGCGGCUCCCAUGGACAUUGUUGAAGAUUCAUUUCCCUUGUGUUCUGCUGCCAAUUUGGGCGGUGGAGGACUUCACAGAAGACUUGGUGAGGUUACAAAGAGGCUGCAGCUUGCCAGUAAGACCUAGAUCUAGCAGACAUUCCAUUCUUCUGGGUUUUCACUGGUCUUGUUUUCCUGCAUCAGUGUUCCCAUAUAGAGAGUAUCUCCUUCGCGGUAUAUUUAAGAAAGAAGGAAGGUAUUGUUGAAAAUGUCUGCAGCCAGGGAUGACUGCCUG